rnacentral:rRNA from 1 species
GAUGAACGCUAGCUACAGGCUUAACACAUGCAAGUCGAGGGACCGGCGCUCGGGUGAGUACCACGUAUCCAACCUGCCCUUUACUCGGUGCUAGCCUUUCGAUAGAAAGAUUAAUACCCGAUCUCAAGGCUGGGGAUGCGUUCCAUUAGGUUGUUGGUGAGGUAACGGCUCACCAAGCUUUCUCUGGAUAGGGGUUCUGAGAGGAAGGUCCACCAGAAUGGAACUGAGACACGGACCAAACUCCGACGGGAGGCAGCAGUGAGGAAUACUGGGCAAUGGGCGCUAGCCUGAACCAGCCAAGUAGCGUGAAGGAUGAAGGCUUAUGGGUCGUAAACUUCUUUUAUAUAAGAAUAGGUAUUAUAAGAAUAAGGAUCGGCUAACUCCGUGCCAGCAGCCGCGGUAAUAG